GAACGGAUUGAAUCGGUACGGCGAGUGAGCGGCAAAAGCUCAAAUUUGAAAUCCCCCGGGAAUUGUAAUUUGAAGAGAUUUGGGUCCGGCCGGCGGGGGUUAAGUCCACUGGAAAGUGGCGCCACAGAGGGUGACAGCCCCGUGAACCCCUUUAACGCCCUCAUCCCAGAUCUCCAAGAGUCGAGUUGUUUGGGAAUGCAGCUCUAAGUGGGUGGUAAAUUCCAUCUAAAGCUAAAUACCGGCGAGAGACCGAUAGCGAACAAGUACAGUGAUGGAAAGAUGAAAAGCACUUUGAAAAGAGAGUGAAAAAGUACGUGAAAUUGUUGAAAGGGAAGGGCUUGCAAGCAGACACUUAACUGGGCCAGCAUCGGGGCGGCGGGAAACAAAACCACCGGGGAAUGUACCUUUCGAGGAUUAUAACCCCGGUCUCUAUUUCCUUGUUGCCCCGAGGCCUGCAAUCUAAGGAUGCUGGCGUAAUGGUUGCAAGUCGCCCGUCUUGAAACACGGACCCAA
rnacentral:rRNA from 1 species